GGGUUCCAGAUUAUACAAUGGAGUAUCACUAGGCGACCAAAAAGUUGGGAAGCUUUAAUAAAGAUCAGAAUGACACAGGAAGAAGCAAGUGAGGGAUAGACAAGAGGAAGCAGACGUGCUGCCCUCUUUGACCACUCCCAGCAGCGUGGCAUGGCGCCCAGUUUGCUUGUGAACACACCGACCUCCAACUCUAAGACCAGCAUCAACUCCUCCUAUCACUGCCAGCACAGGCCACACCUCUAUGCAAAGGGUCCUCAGCUGCGGCUCUGAGAGUAAGUCCAACGGUCUGUUCGGUGAAGGAUACGGAUAAGCUGAAUAGUGGCCUCCGCCAGCACUGCUGCUACUGGACUGCAAAUAGGGUCUCCUGGAACAUGUUUGGCCUGAGCAAUAGGUGUUUCCCACAUACAGUCCGACAGAAGGGAAAAGAGGCGUUCAACAACCUAUUUAUUGAAGGAAAAAGAAUGAUAAAAUUUGUAAAAGUUUCCCUAACAGAAAGAAUGCCACAAUGUGUAUCUGUGAAGGAAGAAGGGUGUACUCACUGCCCGCUGUCAUCACUUCAUGUUCCCGUUCUUCUUCUUCAUCCUCCGGCUCAGGAUGCCCCUCUUCCCUGUUUCGCUCAGCCUGUUCUUCCAUUUCAGCUUCUUCAUCAAUGGUCCGAGUAAAUGAAUGCUCCUGAGGGUCAACAUCUGCAGAGUCCUGGUUUUCUGAGAUCUUAAAGAAAUAAUACUAUACUGAAUAUAUUUUUCAAAAACUUGGAAAACUUUAUUAAAGACCUUGAUUUUUAUCAUGGAAAAUACUGCUAAUAUUAGUAACACAUGAAUUUUUACUCCAACUACCCUAAAGAUACACUGGAUAAAUCUGAAAAGAUUAGAAAGAAUAUACGUACACAAGAUAUGUAUAGAGACUACCCCUACGCCCUCCUAUCUUCAGUAUCUAGAUUAGAAUGUCAUGUUAUAAAUUGACUCAAAUUUAUAUUGCUAUUCAGCUAUAAAUUCCUAGAGCUGCAACGUAAAGAUGAGUGUAAAACCAAGCAUAAAAGGUCAUUUAAGAACACGAAUUUUUAUACCAUUCAGUCUCCCUCAAGCUG